rnacentral:rRNA from 1 species
GACGAACGCUGGCGGCGUGCUUAACACAUGCAAGUCGAACGGAAAGGCCCUGCUUUUGUGGGGUGCUCGAGUGGCGAACGGGUGAGUAACACGUGAGUAACCUGCCCUUGACUUUGGGAUAACUUCAGGAAACUGGGGCUAAUACCGGAUAGGAGCUCCUGCUGCAUGGUGGGGGUUGGAAAGUUUCGGCGGUUGGGGAUGGACUCGCGGCUUAUCAGCUUGUUGGUGGGGUAGUUGCUUACCAAGGCUUUGACGGGUAGCCGGCCUGAGAGGGUGACCGGACACAUUGGGACUGAGAUACGGCCCAGAAUGCAACGGGAGGCAGCAGUGGGGAAUAGUGCAGAAUGGGCGGAAGCCUGAUGCAGCAACGCCGCGUGCGGGAUGAAGGCCUUCGGGUUGUAAAACGCUUUAGCCUGUGACGAAGCGUGAGUGACGGUAAUGGGUAAAGAAGCACCGGCUAACUACGUG